rnacentral:ribozyme from 12 species
UUUUUUUUUUUUUUUUUUUUUUGGGGUAUGGAGGGAGGGGGGUGAACGGUGCACGUCGGUGACAGUUGUUGCAGUUACAGAGUAACAGCAACGUCAGUCAUUUUUUAUUUAGGU